GAAAUGCGAUAAGUAAUGUGAAUUGCAGAAUUCAGUGAAUCAUCGAAUCUUUGAACGCACAUUGCGCCCGCCAGUAUUCUGGCGGGCAUGCCUGUUCGAGCGUCAUUUCAACCAUCAAGCCCCGCGCUUGUGUUGGGGACCUGCGGCUGCCGCAGGCCCUGAAAACCAGUGGCGGGCUCGCUGUCACACCGGGCGUAGUAGAUUUUAUCUCGCUCAGGGCGUGCUGCGGGUCCCGGCCGUUAAAAAGCCUUUUUUACCCAAGGUUGACCUCGGAUCAGGUAGGAAGACCCGCUGAACUUAAGC
rnacentral:misc_RNA from 1 species